CCUACGGGAGGCAGCAGUGAGGAAUAUUGGUCAAUGGUCGAGAGCCUGAACCAGCCAAGUAGCGUGAAGGAUGACUGCCCUACGGGUUGUAAACUUCUUUUAUAAAGGAAUAAAGUGCGGCACGUGUGCCGUUUUGUAUGUACUUUAUGAAUAAGGAUCGGCUAACUCCGUGCCAGCAGCCGCGGUAAUACGGAGGAUCCGAGCGUUAUCCGGAUUUAUUGGGUUUAAAGGGAGCGUAGAUGGGCUGUUAAGUCAGUUGUGAAAGUUUGCGGCUCAACCGUAAAAUUGCAGUUGAUACUGGCAGUCUUGAGUACAGGUGAGGUAGGCGGAAUUCGUGGUGUAGCGGUGAAAUGCUUAGAUAUCACGAAGAACUCCGAUUGCGAAGGCAGCUUACUAAACUGCCACUGACGCUGAUGCUCGAAAGUGUGGGUAUCAAACAGGAUUAGAUACCCUAGUAGUC
rnacentral:rRNA from 1 species